CCAAUAGCGUAUAUUAAAGUUGUUGCAGUUAAAAAGCUCGUAGUUGAAUUUCGGGGCCAGUAGGUCGGUCGUGCCACUGGUAUGAACUGGUCUCACUGGUCCCUCCCUCUUGAAGAACCGUGAUGCCAUUAAUUUGGUGUUGCGGGGAAACAGGACUGUUACUUUGAAAAAAUUAGAGUGCUUAAAGCAGGCCUACGCUUGAAUACAUUAGCAUGGAAUAAAGAAAUAGGACGAUCGAUUCUAUUUUGUUGGUUUCUAGGAUCGACGUAAUGAUUAAUAGGGAUAGUUGGGGGCAUUAGUAUUCAAUUGUCAGAGGUGAAAUUCUUGGAUUUAUUGAAGACUAACUACUGCGAAAGCAUUUGCCAAGGAUGUUUUCAUUAAUCAAGAACGAAAGUUAGGGGAUCGAAGACGAUCAGAUACCGUCGUAGUCUUAACCAUAAACUAUGCCGGCUAGGGAUCGGAUGAAGUUAAUUUUUUAAUGACUCAUUCGGCGCCUUACG
rnacentral:rRNA from 1 species